AACAAAUUCACCAGACUUUAUUCCUCGAAAAGAUUUCAGCAGUUAUGUAUUCUGUUCUAGUGUAAUAUCAACUUCCACCACUACUAACAUGCUAGAUGCAGCAGUCCACAGCUGCUACUAGUUAUAGAACUCUCAUUUGCAAUGUUGUUUGACGGGCUAAACAUAUUGGCCAUACCAUGCUACUAGGUUUAUCCAUUGAAAAACUACAUAAA